GCACUGGCACGGGAACCAGGAGCCAGGCCAGGGGAGGGAAAACCCCCGCCCUACCCCAGCCCAGGAUGGAGAGCCCAGGAUUAGGGGUGCUUCUGAAACUCUCGCUGAGCCAGGCAGGGAAGCCCUGCAGACUGCUGUCUGGGAGGAGGAGUCAGACACAUGGGCCAUCACCACAAGAGGAGGUGGAAGCCCCUCUUGGCUCACCAGGUUACUUCAGUCUGGGGCUCUGCCAAGAAAGUGGGAGCUGCCCCCCAGUCCCUGCCCAGCGCUCACUACUGCCCUGACAGCCUGUUCGAAUUCCUGGCUAUCUGCAGAGAUCUCCGGGUCAAGCUGUCUCCAUCGCACGCUGACCUCCAUCAUGAGCCCAGAUAACACCCUCUCCUCCCCUCCAGUUCAGCAGGGGCUUUUCCACCUUUAACAGGAAAGAGGUUGGGUGCUAACUGCAGGGGAGGGGGGCGAGGCUGUGGGGGACUACAGGCCACUGGAAUGAAGCAGCAGUUUGUUGCAUGCAGCAGACUCCCACCAUUGCCCGGUGGCCAGCUGUCUCCAAUUGUCCCCAAGUCCCCACAAUCCAGUCUCCCAGACCUCUUGGAAUCUGGUUAUGCUCAGUGGGGGGCCCUCAUCCUUCCAGCCCAUCCCUUGCUGUUUUCCACCCACUCCUCCCCAGCCCCUUCUGGUCCCCUUCCUAUCUCUCCGCACCCCCUUCGCCUCUGGCCCUGUCCCCUCUCUCCCCCUCUCCCUGCUUCCCUGCCUGCCUCCUUCUCUGCCCGGCUGCAGUUGGGUGAUAAUCUCCCUCAUUUAGCCUCCCGGCUGCUUCCCCGGCUCAUUGCCCAGCUGGUCCCUGGGGCCCGGCCCAGUUUCUUCCCCACCCCCACCCCCAGCCCUGCGCCCAAGCUCCCUCAGCCCCUCCCCUUUUCUCUCACCCAUUCCCAGGGGA